GCGAGACCCACGCCAACAGUUGCCAGCAUGUCCUCCGGGAUGAUGGGGACACUGUUGGGACCGCCUCUGCUAAAGAGGAGGAAGGAAUGGGCAACGGUAGGUCAGCAUGCCCCGAAUUAUCCGGGCUACACGCGGGCUACAAUGGUCAGGACAAUGGGUAUCGACACCGAGAGGUGGAGGCAAUCUCCUAAACCUGUCCUUAGUUCGGAUUGUGGGCUGCAACUCGCCCACAUGAAGCUGGAAUCCGUAGUAAUCGCGUUUCAAAAUAGCGCGGUGAAUAUGUCCCUGCUCCUU
rnacentral:rRNA from 1 species